UUCGCAAUGCCCGAAAGGGUGACGAAGCGACGCCGCGUGUGGGAAGAAGGCCUUCGGGUUGUAAACCACUGUCGGGAGUUAAGAAAUGCAAGGGUGCUAAUAGUAUCCUUGCUUGACUAAGGCUCCGGAGGAAGCCACGGCUAACUCUGUGCCAGCAGCCGCGGUAAUACAGAGGCGGCAAGCGUUGUUCGGAAUUAUUGGGCGUAAAGAGCACGUAGGCGGCUAUGUAAGUCGGUUGUGAAAGCCUUCCGCUCAACGGAAGAACAGCAUCCGAUACUGCAUGGCUUGAGUGCGGGAGGGGAGAGUGGAACUUCUGGUGGAGCGGCGAAAUGCGUAGAUAUCAGAAGGAACGCCGGCGGCGAAAGCGGCUCUCUGGCCCAUAACUGACGCUGAGUGUGCGAAAGCUAGGGGAGCAAACGGGAUUAGAUACCCCGGUAGUCCUAGCCGUAAACGAUGGGCACUAAGUAGAGGGGUUUU
rnacentral:rRNA from 1 species